AGGAAGAAUUUCUACAUAGAGACAAGUAAGUGUGAGUUAUGUGAUGAUGAACCUAAUGAACAUCUAAUGCACCUAACUUUUAGCUGUGAUUUCAGCCAAAACUUCUGGAUGAACAUUGGCUACCAAUGGGACACUGAUUAUAACCUGAUGAAAAUGCUCUUGGAGGGUAGGAAACAAGAUACUUAUGGAUGUUUUAAAGAGUGCCUAAUUGUUGGUUGCUGGAGUUUAUGGAAGCACAGAAAUAGCAUCAUUUUCGAUCACAAGGUCAAGAAUAUGGCAUACUGUAUAGCCAUGUUCAAGAAGCACUUCAGCAUGAUCAUAAAGAAGGCAAAACCUGGUUUGAAGGAGGGCAUGCAAAGCUGGCUAGACCAUUUGUAG
rnacentral:rRNA from 1 species